rnacentral:lncRNA from 1 species
AGGGAAGCUGGGGAAGAAGUAAUACAGGAUCUAUGGAGGAAAGCAGUACUGACUCCUGAGAGAAAGCAGACCUGCCCUUAAACAGGAAGGAAAAUAUGAUCUGCAAGGCAGGAGAAAACAAAUCUCUAGACAGUAAUUCAUACAGCAUGGAUUUGAACAGGAAGAGGAUUCACUUUUAUGCUCUUGAGACUCAAAUGCUUACCAUAACGAUUUCCCAGAGCGUACCAGUGCACUUGGUGUCAAUGAAGGCUAAUUCGACAGUGUUAUCUUCAGAUACAAAAAGCAUCAUAUACCACCUCUCUGACACUCAGGAAGAAUAAUCUGUGAGCAUUUUACAUCUUUGUAUCUCAAUACACUUUGAAAAAAAGAAAGUGUAAGUGAUCUCAUCCAUACCUUACCUAACAAGGAACUGAAGAACAGAAGAGACUCAGGGUAUGUGUUACAUGUGCUAGAAGCACAAAGAACAUGUCCUUUCUAAAUAUUAGCCCUCUCUGUCUUUCUCUUCCCCUUACUUUCCUCCUUUUGUAUUAGGAAGUGUGCUGUCAAUGACUCUCUUACAACUGACCACAUAAUAUUACAAAUGUCAAGAUACUGAAAACUAAACAACUGGAAAAAAGCAACUGCAAAGUGAGACUGUUAUUAAGUUUUUCUUUU